rnacentral:rRNA from 1 species
AUGCUGGCCUCGGCGCCAUACCAGGCACCGGUGGGGGAGGGCGAGAAGACCCAAGAUGACCUUGGUUCCGAAGAUAAGUCGGACACUGAUUUCGGAGAAAUUGACCUUUCCUCGCCCGAAGACGGAGGCGGAAAAGGACCUAGUAUCCCUUCUCCAAGCAGGAGGAAAAGGGCCGCCUCCGAAGAUUGGGACGGGCGGUCUUCCAAAAAGGGCAAGAUGCCACCAUCGAGCGGCUUGGGUUUGGAAAGCGACGCCGUUGAACAGCUCCAACAAGGGGACAAGCCCUCGGCCAAACCGUAA